GAUCAUGGCUCAGGACGAACGCUGGCGGCGUGCCUAACACAUGCAAGUCGAGCGGAGACAGUGAGUAGCUUGCUACGAGCUGUUUUAGCGGCGGACGGGUGAGUAACGCGUGAGCAACCUUUCCCAGACAGGGGAAUAACACACCGAAAGGUGUACUAAUACCGCAUAAGACCACGGGAUCACAUGGUUCUGGGGUAAAAGAAUUAUCGGUUUGGGGUGGGCUCGCGUCCGAUUAGGUAGUUGGUGAGGUAACGGCCC
rnacentral:rRNA from 1 species